rnacentral:tRNA from 1 species
GGAGAGGUGUCCGAGCGGUCGAAGGAGCACGCCUGGAAAGUGUGUAUAUGGGAAACUGUAUCGCGGGUUCGAAUCCCGCCCUCUCCG